ACGCUGGCGGCAGGCCUAACACAUGCAAGUCGAGCGGUAGAGAGAAGCUUGCUUCUCUUGAGAGCGGCGGACGGGUGAGUAAUGCCUAGGAAUCUGCCUGUAGUGGGGGAUAACGUUCGGAAACGGACGCUAAUACCGCAUACGUCCUACGGGAGAAAGCAGGGGACCUUCGGGCCUUGCGCUAUCAGAUGAGCCUAGGUCGGAUUAGCUAGUUGGUGGGGUAAUGGGCUCACCAAGGCGACGACCCCGUAACUGGUCUGAAGAAGGAUGAUCAGUCACACUGGAACUGAGACACGGUCCAGACUCCUACGGGAGGCAGCAGUGGGGAAUAUUGGACAAUGGGCGAAAGCCUGAUCCAGCCAUGCCGCGUGUGUGAAGAAGGUCUUCGGAUUGUAAAGCACUUUAAGUUGGGAGGAAGGGCAGUUGCCUAAUACGUAGCUGUUUUGACGUUACCGACAGAAUAAGCACCGGCUAACUCUGUGCCAGCAGCCGCGGUAAUACAGAGGGUGCAAGCGUUAAUCGGAAUUACUGGGCGUAAAGCGCGCGUAGGUGGUUUGUUAAGUUGGAUGUGAAAUCCCCGGGCUCAACCUGGGAACUGCAUUCAAAACUGACUGACUAGAGUAUGGUAGAGGGUGGUGGAAUUUCCUGUGUAGCGGUGAAAUGCGUAGAUAUAGGAAGGAACACCAGUGGCGAAGGCGACCACCUGGACUGAUACUGACACUGAGGUGCGAAAGCGUGGGGAGCAAAC
rnacentral:rRNA from 1 species